UACGGGAGGCAGCAGUGGGGAAUAUUGCACAAUGGGCGAAAGCCUGAUGCAGCUAUGCCGCGUGUAUGAAGAAGGCCUUAGGGUUGUAAAGUACUUUCAUCGGGGAGGAAAAACAAAACUAAUAAUUUUAUUUCUUGACGUUACCCGAAAAAGAAGCACCGGCUAACUCCGUGCCAGCAGCCGCGGUAAUACGGAGGGUGCUAGCGUUAAUCAGAAUUACUGGGCGUAAAGAGCACGUAGGUGGUUUUUUAAGUCAGAUGUGAAAUCCCUGGGCUUAACCUAGGAACUGCAUUUUGAAACUGAAAUACUAGAGUAUCGUAGAGGGAGGUAGAAUUCUAGGUGUAGCGGUGAAAUGCGUAGAUAUCUGGAGGAAUACCUGUGGCGAAAGCGGCCUCCUAAACGAAUACUGACACUGAGGUGCGAAAGCGUGGGGAGCAAACAGAAUUAGAUACC
rnacentral:rRNA from 1 species